UCUAAUUGUAAUUAUGGAUUUUCGUGCCUAACGUUUGACCGUCUAUUUUAUUUAAAAAAAAUAUAAAUUUUUUUUAAAAAAGUCAAACAUAAAGUACUAAUUUUUUAAAAAAUUCAAAUAAGACGGACGGUCAAACGUUGGACACAGAAACCCAUAACGGGGGGAGUACUUAGG
rfam:Oryza sativa (indica cultivar-group) chromosome 10, whole genome shotgun sequence.